GACGAACGCUGGCGGCGUGCCUAAUACAUGCAAGUAGAACGCUGAAGGAGGAGCUUGCUUCUCUGGAUGAGUUGCGAACGGGUGAGUAACGCGUAGGUAACCUGCCUGGUAGCGGGGGAUAACUAUUGGAAACGAUAGCUAAUACCGCAUAACAGUAGAUAUCGCAUGAUAGCUACUUGAAAGGUGCAAUUGCACCACUACCAGAUGGACCUGCGUUGUAUUAGCUAGUUGGUGAGGUAACGGCUCACCAAGGCAACGAUACAUAGCCGACCUGAGAGGGUGAUCGGCCACACUGGGACUGAGACACGGCCCAGACUCCUACGGGAGGCAGCAGUGGGGAAUCUUCGGCAAUGGACGGAAGUCUGACCGAGCAACGCCGCGUGAGUGAAGAAGGUUUUCGGAUCGUAAAGCUCUGUUGUAAGAGAAGAACGAGUGUGAGAGUGGAAAGUUCACACUGUGACGGUAUCUUACCAGAAAGGGACGGCUAACUACGUGCCAGCAGCCGCGGUAAUACGUAGGUCCCGAGCGUUGUCCGGAUUUAUUGGGCGUAAAGCGGGCGCAGGCGGUUAGAUAAGUCUGAAGUUAAAGGCUGUGGCUUAACCAUAGUACGCUUUGGAAACUGUUUAACUUGAGUGCAAGAGGGGAGAGUGGAAUUCCAUGUGUAGCGGUGAAAUGCGUAGAUAUAUGGAGGAACACCGGUGGCGAAAGCGGCUCUCUGGCUUGUAACUGACGCUGAGGCUCGAAAGCGUGGGGAGCAAACAGG
rnacentral:rRNA from 1 species